rnacentral:rRNA from 1 species
UACGGGGGGGGCAAGCGUUGUUCGGAAUUACUGGGCGUAAAGGGCUCGUAGGCGGCCAACUAAGUCGGAUGUGAAAUCCCCAGGCUUAACCUGGGAACUGCAUCCGAUACUGGAUGGCUCGAAUCCGGGAGAGGGAUGCGGAAUUCCAGGUGUAGCGGUGAAAUGCGUAGAUAUCUGGAGGAACACCGGUGGCGAAGGCGGCAUCCUGGACCGGCAUUGACGCUGAGGAGCGAAAGCCAGGGGAGCAAACGGG